GGGAGCCUGAGGCUCAGACCCAGGAACCGAGCUGCCCAAGGCCACACAGACGCCGGGUGUCCUGACUCGCAGCCUGGGUCCGCGGCAGUCACCUGAGCCCGAGCCCGCUGCCCUGCCGCCGGGACACCACGACACCGGGACACCAGGACACCGGGACAGGCACGGGGAGAAGGCCGGCGAUGCUCACGGUGGGCCCUGUCCUCUUUCCUCUGCCCAGCUCCGGGAGGGCCUUGGGAACGAAGCCCAGGCCCCCUCCCCCCACCCACAGUUCCAGCGGCCUCCCCUGCCCAGCGUCAGCCUGCCACGGUGAGUGACAGAGCGAGGAGGCUCCUACAGCCAGGGGUCCGGCCCAGCGCCCACCAGAGGGCCCUGCCCCAGAUGGGGGUGGAGCGAGGCCAAAAUCUGUAGGUGAGUGAGGGCAGGGCCCAGAUGAACUGGGCGGCUGCGUGUCAUGUCUGCCCAGGUUCAAAUUCCACCUCUGCCCUCACUCAUCCACGACCACGCAAAGCUGUUCUGGACCUUGGUUUUUCCAUCUGUAAAGUGGGGGUGAAACAGCUCCUCUCUCGUAGGCACGUUGUGAGGCUUGACUGGUUGAAUGCACCUCAAGGCCUGGGCUCAUUUUCUCUUGGGAAUAACGAGGACAAAUCUGUGACUCUUACACCGUGAUUAGCUUCCCAUCCUUUGGACAGGCCCGUCGUGUUUCCUGCAGUUACAAAUACCUUCCUCCGGAAAGCUGGCGGGGCGGGGGGGAGGGGAUCUGUGUGCUGUGGUACCCCCAUCGAGGGGCACUGCCUGCUACCUGCCUGCCCCUCUCCCUCCUGCCCUACUCCAGUCAAAUCUUUGGAACACAGCGGCAAGGACAUCCCGAUUUGGAAAGGGCUGGCUAACCCAGAUCUGGUACACAUCCUCCCAUCUGUGGGUCCUCCGGGCCCACCGCCUCCAGCCCUGCCGGCUUCCUCCACGUAGCUCACUUAAUCUGUUUAAUUUUCUGCAAGGAGAGCGACACGAAGCGCUGGGCAGCUCUCAUCCAGGCCACGCAGGGAGGCAUCAUGUAACGGGGAGACGGCAAAAGCGUGGGCUUCGGCAUCACAGCUCUGGAUUCAAAUCCCGGCACGGCUGCUUCCUUGCUGUGUGACGCCGGGCAAGCUGGUAUCCCUCUCUGAGCCUCAGUGCCCUACACGAUAAGAGCACCAGCCCUCCAGGCAGUGCCUUUGUUCCGUUGCUGACACUUGCUACAUUUUCCUCGUUGCAGUUGGCUCAGGCGGAGCGCUUGGCCCAGGGCGGAUGCUCUGUAAGUGAGGCUCACGGUUACCCGAGGCCCAGCAUGUGGGCAGCAAAGGGUGCGGUAAGGACGAACCUUCUCUGGGGAAAGCCGACCAGUACCAGAUCCCGGGUGGGGUCACCUCCCAGCCCGUUUCGGGGGGGGGGGGGCGCUUUGCUCCAUUUCCAGCCAGCUUCCAGGACAGGUAGAUCUGAGCUGCCCCGUCCAAACAUCCUCUUCCUCGUCUGGAGACUAGAGGAGCUAAAAAUGCAUCACUCAGCCCCAGGAAAACAAACACUGAGCUUCCCUUGCCUUUGUAUACAGGACACGAGGCCCAAGGCGGCAGAGGCAGUGUGGAGGGAUCCUCCAGGCAGCCCCAGGCCUGGGGGGUCUGUCUGUCUGUCUGUCUGCCUUCCUGGGUCUCUCUUGCCUCCCCGGGUACAGCCACAGUGGCCAGAGGCUCACCAGUGUGUGGGGGUCUCCAACAGAAGUGGCCGGGGCUCUGUGUGAGGACCUCCUCCCCUCCAUGUGACGUGCCCGCAGCCGUCCCAGCCCUGGGCCCCUCCCCUAGCCCUGUCUCUGGAGCUCACAGGUGGGUGUGUGCGUGCGCAUGCGCCUGAGGCUUGGCGUAUUAACAAUGAUCAUCCUGGUGACUAACCAACGUGCGUGCAGUGCUCACUCCAUGCUUUCAACACUGAGGAUGUGUUAACUCCAGGAGGUAAUCGCUAUUGGUAUCCACAUCUUACAGAUGAGGACACGGAGGCUCAGAAAGGUGAAGUAACUCGUUCAAGGUCACGGGCUAGGAAAUGGUUACAGCAGGGUUCGAACCCAGGCAAUCUUUGAUGGGAAGGCGAAUCCCUUGUCCCCUGCAAGCCUCAGUUUCCUCACCCAUAAAAUGAGCACCCACGUACCUCCCU